CCUACGGGCGGCAGCAGUGGGGAAUAUUGCACAAUGGGGGAAACCCUGAUGCAGCGACGCCGCGUGAGUGAAGAAGGAUUUCGGUACGUAAAGCUCUAUCAGCAGGGAAGAAAAUGACGGUACCUGACUAAGAGUCCCCUGCCAAUGACGUGCCAGCAGCCGCGGGAAUACGGAGUGGGCAAGCGUGAUCCGGAUUUUAGGGGGGUAAAGGGAGCGGAGGCGGUAGCGCAAGUCUGAAGUGAAAUCCCCUGGCGUAACCAUGGAACUGCUUUGGAAACUGGGCAGCUGGAGUGCAGGAGAGGUAAGCGGAAUUCCUGGUGUAGCGGUGAAAUGCGUAGAUAUUUGGAGGAACACCAGUGGCGAAGGCGGCCUGCUGGACUGUGACUGACGUUGAGGCCCGAAGGCGUGGGGAGCAAACAGGAUUAGAUACCCUGGUAGUC
rnacentral:rRNA from 1 species